UACGGAGGGUGCAACCGUUGCUCGGAAUCAUUGGGCGUAAAGCGCACGUAGGCGGCCUGUUAAGUCGGAUGUGAAAGCCCCGGGCUCAACCCGGGAAGUGCAUUCGAAACUGGCGGGCUUGAAUAUGGAAGAGGGUCGCGGAAUUCCCGGUGUAGAGGUGAAAUUCGUAGAUAUCGGGAGGAACACCAGUGGCGAAGGCGGCGACCUGGGCCAAUAUUGACGCUGAGGUGCGAAAGCGUGGGGAGCAAACAGG
rnacentral:rRNA from 1 species